AUGAGAAAGGUACAACUAGAGGUUCGACAAGUGGUAGGUGGGCAACAAUCUGUCAUAAAUAACAAUGACCUUCAUGACCUCCACUACAUGAGAAUGGUGAUCAAGGAGGUCUUGAGGUUGCAUCCCCCCGCUCCUCUACUCCCCCGAAGGGCAAGAGAAGACUGCGAAAUCAUGGGAUAUAAAAUUCCUGAGGGCACCAAUGUACAAGUUAAUAUAUUCGUGAUUUGUCGGGAUUGCAGAUAUUGGGAUGCCCCUGAAGCAUUUAAGCCAGAGAGGUUCAAAGAGAGCAACAUAGAUCACAAGGGGACACAUUUUGAGUUCACACCUUUCGGGGCUGGGAGACGGCAAUGUCCUGGAAUGUUGUUCGGCACAUCAACCGUGGAGAUCGCAUUAGCAAACCUUCUACACCACUUUGACUGGGUGUUCCCUGAUGGGCCUAAUCCGGGGUCGUUGGACAUGUCUGAGAAGUUCGGGAUCAAUGUACGUAGAAAGUUCGAUUUAGAGCUUAGAGCAACCCCAUAUGUGCUCUCCAAAGUUGCGUAG
rnacentral:rRNA from 1 species